rnacentral:lncRNA from 1 species
GUGAUAGGGGCCACCAUGGAGAAAUUUAAGUGGUGCAUAACAUUGCCAAGAUAAUGUACCACUAGAAAUGAUGGUGUAAAGGCUUAGUCUUUUUUUUUUUUUUUUAAGAAAAGUUAUUACGAUGUAUUUUGUGAGGCAGGUUUACAACACUACAAGUCUUGACUAAGAAGGAAAGAGGAAAAAAAAAAAACACCGAUACCCAGAUUUUUAAAAAGAUCAUAGUCUUAGGAGUUCAUUUAAACCAUAGGAACUUUUCACUUAUCUCAUGUUAGCUGUACCAGUCAGUGAUUAAGUAGAACUACAAGUUGUAUAGGCUUUAUUGUUUAUUGCUGGUUUAUGACCUUAAUAAAGUGUAAUUAUGUAUUACCAGCAGGGUGUUUUUAACUGUGACUAUUGUAUAAAAACAAAUCUUGAUAUCCAGAAGCACAUGAAGUUUGCAACUUUCCACCCUGCCCAUUUUUGUAAAACUGCAGUCAUCUUGGACCUUUUAAACACAAAUUUUAAACUCAACCAAGCUGUGAUAAGUGGAAUGGUUACUGUUUAUACUGUGGUAUGUUUUUGAUUACAGCAGACAAUGCUUUCUUUUCCAGUCGUCUUUGAGAAUAAGGAAAAAA